UUCGGUGGCGAUAGCGAAAGUGAAACACCCGUUCCCAUUCCGAACACGGAAGUUAAGCCUUUCAGCGCCGAUGGUACUGCAGUGGAAACGCUGUUGGAGAGUAGGACGCUGCCGGUU
rnacentral:rRNA from 1 species